rnacentral:lncRNA from 1 species
AUCUGGGAAGAGGUAUAAGUUUGUGGCCACCGGGCAUGGGAAGUAUGAGAAGGUGCUUGUGGAAGGGGGCCCGGCUCCCUAGGCGUCCCAUCUCGGUCCAGCCGGCUGGCACCCUCCAUGUACCCAGGGGAGAUUCCAGCCAGACACCCGCCCCCCGGCCCUGGCUAAGAAGUUGCUUCCUGUUGCCAGCAUGACCUACCCUCGCCUCUUUGAUGCCAUCCGCUGCCACCUCCUUUUGCUCCUGGACCCUUUAGCCUCUCUGCCCUUCCACUCUCUGACCACCGCCCCCGCCCUCCCCACCCAGCUCCGCUUCUUGUUACUUGGGGGAGGAAAGAAACUCCUGAUCAUUGGCCAAAGGGACUUACCCCUGGAGAGGCCAAGUGCCUUCUAGGAAGUUAGGAGGUUGAGGCACAGCCUGUGCAGAGAGGGUGGGUCACCCCCCCAGAUCCAAGGAGAAACUGCAGGUCAAGGGCUGAUAACGGCCAUGCAGGAUGCUUGAUGCUGCGUCCCCCGCUGCUUGCCGCCCCCCACCCCGCCAUUUUGUAUAAUAAAGCUCCCUGUGUAUUCUCA